UGACUUGUGUAAUGUGUACUUUCUCAGGG
rnacentral:sRNA from 1 species